rnacentral:rRNA from 1 species
CAAUAGCGUAUAUUAAAGUUGUUGCGGUUAAAAAGCUCGUAGUUGGAUUUCUGCCGAGGACGACCGGUCCGCCCUCCGGGUGAGUAUCUGGCUCGGCCUGGGCAUCUUCUUGGAGAACGUAGCUGCACUUGGCUGUGUGGUGCGGUAUUCAGGACUUUUACUUUGAGGAAAUUAGAGUGUUUCAAGCAGGCACACGCCUUGAAUACAUUAGCAUGGAAUAAUAAGAUAGGACCUCGGUUCUAUUUUGUUGGUUUCUAGAUCUGAGGUAAUGAUUAAUAGGGAUAGUUGGGGGCAUUCGUAUUUAACGGUCAGAGGUGAAAUUCUUGGAUUUGUUAAAGACGGACUACUGCGAAAGCAUUUGCCAAGGAUGUUUUCAUUGA